AGUGAACGCUGGCGGCAGGCCUAAUACAUGCAAGUCGAACGGCAGCACAGCAGAGCUUGCUCUGUGGGUGGCGAGUGGCGGACGGGUGAGGAAUACAUGGGAAUCUGCCCAGUCGUGGGGGAUAACGUAGGGAAACUUACGCUAAUACCGCAUGCGCCCUUCGGGGGAAAGCCGGGGACCUUCGGGCCUGGCGCGAUUGGAUGAGCCCAUGUCGGAUUAGCUAGUUGGCGGGUAAUGGCCCACCAAGGCGACGAUCCGUAGCUGGUCUGAGAGGAUGAUCAGCCACACUGGAACUGAGACACGGUCCAGACUCCUACGGGAGGCAGCAGUAGGGAAUAUUGGACAAUGGGCGCAAGCCUGAUCCAGCCAUGCCGCGUGAGUGAAGAAGGCCCUCGGGUUGUAAAGCUCUUUGUCCGGAAAGAAAAGCGCCGGGUUAAUACCCUAGUGUCCUGACGGUACCGGAAGAAUAAGCACCGGCUAACUCGUGCCAGCAGCCGCGGU
rnacentral:rRNA from 1 species